UAAUCCGUUUCUUAAACGCCAAGGGAGCCCACGCUCCAGGUUGUGGCAAAGGACCAGGGGUCACAGGCACCAAGAUAUCCGCGAGAAGCCUUGGAUCCGGUCAGAGAAGUCAUACUAUCCUCCAUUUUCCACAGAAAACGCAGAAACCAGGGUCAUGGGAAAAGUGUCCAAAUGACCAGGAAGAGGCAGGGAUGGGGCUCAAGGAAAUGGAUCAUGUCCUACCAAGGACAAAGUUCAAUCCUGCUGUAUCUGAUUCCAGCACUUGAGUAAGCAAAGAUAAACUGCAAGAAAAAAGAAAAGAGGGAACGUAUGGCUGUAAGAGAGACUGAAGAGAAAUCUGAUACCAGGGUAUGGCUCUGAUUUGGAUCUCAGUGCAAGCAAACUGAACAAAAAUGUUGAGACAGGGG